rnacentral:lncRNA from 1 species
UAUCUUUCAAGAUUUAGAUUCACCAAAGAAAAAAUGGCUUCCUUAAGUGAUGAAAUUUUCGAUGUUAUUGGUGAACUCAUCCUUAUGAAGGAAGAAUCAAAAGAAGAUGAAGAGCACGUGAGGGUUAGUAUUUAUUUACACUAUUCGUACUCUUAUGUACUUUGUUUUUUCUAUAAGCGUUAAUUAUAUUUUGUGCAAUGUAGGGUUUGGAGAAAACUUUAAUUGAAUACCUUGAUGAAAACAAGAUUAUUCUGGACAGCCAACAUUUUGAAGCAAUCCGACAUUUAAAUAUAGAUAGAUUAAUUGAGUCUCAGCUGAAAAUCAUAGAUAAUUGUAUUGAAGAGAACAAUAAGCUUAUUGAAGCGAUGAAGGUUUGCCCAGGGGAGGAUUGCCCGUGUAGCUGCCACAGUCUUACCA